rnacentral:rRNA from 1 species
GAUGAACGCUGGCGGCGUGCCUAAUACAUGCAAGUCGAGCGAACAGACGAGGAGCUUGCUCCUCUGACGUUAGCGGCGGACGGGUGAGUAACACGUGGAUAACCUACCUAUAAGACUGGGAUAACUUCGGGAAACCGGAGCUAAUACCGGAUGAUAUUUUGAACCGCAUGGUUCAAUAGUGAAAGACGGUUUUGCUGUCACUUAUAGAUGGAUCCGCGCCGCAUUAGCUAGUUGGUAAGGUAACGGCUUACCAAGGCAACGAUGCAUAGCCGACCUGAGAGGGUGAUCGGCCACACUGGAACUGAGACACGGUCCAGACUCCUACGGGAGGCAGCAGUAGGGAAUCUUCCGCAAUGGGCGAAAGCCUGACGGAGCAACGCCGCGUGAGUGAUGAAGGUCUUCGGAUCGUAAAACUCUGUUAUUAGGGAAGAACAUAUGUGUAAGUAACUAUGCACGUCUUGACGGUACCUAAUCAGAAAGCCACGGCUAACUACGUG